rnacentral:lncRNA from 1 species
GGAUAGCGGAUCCGCUCCGCUGUUAUGUUAGUUGACACGUGUCAGCAAAUUAGAGAGGGGACAUGGAGGGGACACCAAUUUGGGGACAGCGGAUCCGCUCCCGGUCUAGAGAGGGAUGUAUUUUUUUUGGGUGUUGAAGCUCAUUUUCUUAAUUUUUGAGUUUUUUUUUAAUUAAUUUAAAAUUUAAACAGUUAUUUAUGUAUUUUUUUAAUCCACGCGGUAUCCACCUGAGUAAAAAAAAGCCACAUCGACUGAAACGACCCGCCCCGAAUUUUCUCAAAACCCGAGACGAA